GUGGUUGUAGCUUGAUUUAGCGGUCAAAGCGGUCCUUCCGUUCCAAUGAAUCAAUCCAAAACUUCACCGCAGUGCAUCGAGGUUGGAACCCACAUGUCGAUUUGUCCCUCCUCUUCCACCUUUCCCAUCUUCUCCCUAACAACGCCUCCACCGUAGCGCCUACCGACGCGUCCACCGGCGUGACAAGCCACCUCUUCCUCCCAAGGUCGCUGGCGGCAAGGAUCUCGGCGUUUUUUUUCCUCCCGAGUAUGGCAGCGGAGGAGGACCUCGGCGCGUGUGUCCUCCUCUCCCUGAGGUGAGUCCUAUCUUUCUCUCUGUGUGUGGAACGCGGCUUCGACCAGGACUUCCAUGCAUAGCCUAGCUCUUCCUCCCAUUGGGCCUCCUCCCAUGUGCUCCACCGGCCGCCGCGGCCGCUGCCGCCCAACGAAUCGCUCGCUCGCCUCCACAGUUGACGACCUCCCCCCCCCUCUCUCUAGAUCUCGACCGCACAACUUAGGGAGGAGUCGAUGGUUGCAUGAGAGUUCUUAUUUUGUCAGAAAUAAUCUACGACUAGGUGAGGAUUAUGGGUUUGUUCUGGAAUUUUCUUUUCUGUUCCAUGUUGCUUUCAGCCAUGAGUGUAGGGAUUUUGAGGCUGCUGGUGUUUGCUGAUCCGGGCACAAAAAGAACCAGAAGAGAUAAGUACAAAUCCUUAUUUUCUUGCCAUAACCAAUACGAUGUGAUUAGUUCUCUGAUCUUUUGGUGCAUACGACCUUGUUUUUUAUACAAGGUAGAUAGAUUCUGCAAGGAGAAGGGAUGGACAUGUACAGCAUAUUGAAUCCCGUCUGUUGUUUGCUUCCUCUGGACUAGCAGUAUAUCCUACUCCUUUGGGCGAGAUGCAAUGACGGCGGCUUCAAGUUUCGGGAGCGAAGUCACGUACUGCAGAGUGGUGACUGCCCGAUUGCGAGACGCUUGAUCUCAUAACAGCGACGCCCGCAUUGGACAUGGUAGUGCCCGCCACUGGAUACCUAUUUGUGCUUAGGGUGCAGGCGUCAGCUGCAUUGGUAUGUCUGGUACCAGUGAGGCACGGCUGCCUCUGCCUGCCCUAUCACUCCAAACCUUCGGGCAAGCUACCUGACGAGUUCUACAAUGCCCAUGCACCAUGCUUUGUUGAUCCGGCGAAGAAGAUUCAAGUUUAUAGCGCCGCUGGCCAUCCAUAUGCAGAGUGAGGAGUUGACAAAUUUUCCUGUUCUGGAGUUGAUACUAUCAUACUAUGGUUGAUGAAACUAUACAUUUUGUGAAGUUAUUGGUCUCACUUCUGAAUCCUCUGAUGUGUUCAUCAAUUAUGCAUAAUGUUUGCCUCAUAAGAGUAUUUUUUUCUUUAUUCUCUGUAAUGGUGGAAAUGCAAGUGUUUUGGUGCAUAAUAAUUUCCAGGCAGUCUGUGAACUUCAGUUUAGGCGGGUAAUUAUUGCAAAUAUUACUUCUGGUUUUUGUUUCGGCUGAUACAGAAUUUAAUUCAGUUUCUGCAAUUAUACUAUUUAUCUUUAUCAAUUGGAGUUUCAUUCAGUUUUCGCUUACUAUCAUUGCUCCUGGUUUCACCCGUUACAUGCCAACACUCCUCUGGAAUGCUCUGUUUCCUACAGCGUAAUGGCCUAUCUACUCCUCAUUUUUCUUUCUAAUUUUGGUCUGUAUUUUCUCAUUUUUGUAUAACUGUAUGCUCAGGAAGACACGCCAAACUGGAGGGGUAAAUUAGUGUCCAGCAUAUGCAUAACACCAGGAGCAACAGCUAAGCUCAACAAGGGGGAGUAGUGUCACUGUAUAUAUCUGAAAUUGGCACUUACACUUUACUAGCUUAGUGAAUGGCUUAUAUUCUCGGGGUGGUGUUUUUCUUCCAUAAGCAAAAGAAGCAUGUGAAACAAAAUUUUGUAUUGUGAUAUAUUGCUGCAGGCUGCAUCAUAUGUAGUAUGUUCAUGUUUUUACGAUGGUUAGAAUUGCCACUUCACUAGCAUAUGUGAUAGGGACCUGAUUUUGUGCAACAUAUAAUGACCACUUUAUCAACAUGUGAAAGGAUUUCUUUCCAGUCCUGAUAUAACUCUUAUGAUGAUAAGGUCCAAUCACUUGGUGCAUGAUACGUAGGAUGGACUUGAGAGGUCAUCUUCAGGUGGCUUACAGUUUCUUUGUUUCCUUAUUAAUCCCUAGGGAGCUACAAGUGUUUUUGGUUGGCAACUCAAUUUCGAAUAGUUAGUUGUCAAAUGGCGAGUUCAUAGUAGUUCUGUAAGAAAAUGUGACCGAGUUUGAGAUAUUACUAAAAUAUUGUCCACCAUCUACAUGAAUUUUAUAGAAAGUGAGACUGGACUUUCUUGCAGCAUCGUUUAUAGAAAUCUAGAAGUUGCAUACAAGAGGUGUUGUGAGCUCAAAUUGAUUUUAUAGCUGAUAGGAACUAACAUUUUCCCUAUAAUGCUGGUUGCAUGAUAAAUUAUCACUAUCUAUAAAUCUUUGGAACGAACCUAAAGAUUUUGAAUGCUUUCCCUAUAUGGCAAUGUCUUGGUAUUUUUAUAAAUUAGUUGUUAUUGAGAUUUUAUAUUGUCUUGCUCUGUUCAAUAUUCUCAGAAUCAGAAACUCCUUGUGAGGUCAGAGGAAAUGACUGCAGGUUGUCACACGAAGGGUGAAUCAUAGACCUGGAAGCUUGAUGAAAAGAAGAUGAUUUUGCAUCAGUAUCUUAGAGAAGUUAGUGCAAAAUCUAAAACAAGGUUGUUUUUGAAGAAGCUGAUUUCUUAGAAACUCUCAGCGGGAGAUGACCAAAGGAUUAAACAACAUAUACAAUGACAGUGUCAGUGUUGGACCAUAGAUGGGCAAGUUGUCUGCUUCUAAAAAGUGCAAAAAAUCUGAGCUUAGCAUGGUAAGUUGUGUUUUCUGCCUUUCUAAGCCAAUGCUUAUGUCAGAUGUAUUCAUUACUAUUUUUUGUAUGUGCCUUUUUAAUUUCUACUGCUUUUUUCUUGAGGCUACAUGGCAAGUUGCCUGCUUCUAAAAGGUGCAGGAAAUCUGAGAUUAACACGCUAAGUUGGAUUAUCUGGUAAGUUGCAUUGUCUGCCUUUUCAUCAUUACUUACCUAGCUAUGGCUGGGCGCUAGGAGAAAACGGUUCUACAUUGAAAGGUCUAGCAUUAUGUUAGCAAAUUACUAUAUGGUAAUGAGAACCAAGUACUAGAACUGUACCAUUUACUUAGUAUUUAUAGUUCAGGUGUUAGUUUGUAUAGGAGGGAUUUAUUUUUGGUGCAUUGUCUGGAGAUUUUGACUGCCAAGUAGAAUUGAACUUAUAUUAGAAAACAAGGAUAUAAAUUGGACUGGAUACAAGAUGUUCAACCUGGUCCCCAUUUCGAAAAAAAAGAUGUUCAACCUGGUGUGUAGGGAAAAAUUGAAUCAGGAAUGUAUGUUCGUUAGAGGGCUGUUGUGAUGUAAUCUACUUGUUCCUGAUUCUAUGUUUCUUUACCUCGAAGCACAUUUGGUUUCAGAAUUCAGAUAUUACUUUCACUUAUUCGUAGGAUCAAGGGGACACAAGCUUCCUUUUGAGAAUACUAAAUGAAAGCAUCUAGCGCCGCACUUCCAGUCCAGUUCUUUCUCUUUCUUCAGCUUUUCUUAGCAGUUUGUAUGGUAGUACAUGCUACAUUAAUUUUAUUGUUAACCUAGGCAGGAAACAGACUCACGACCUUAGUGCAAUUCCCAUGAGAGCGACGGUGACACUAUCUCUGAAUUGCUUUGGAGCUCGAGUCCCAAACAAGAUCAAAAUCUUAUGAUGGUUUCUCCACCUCGACAAGUUAAACACCAGGGCUACUCUACACCACAAGAGCAUUAUCGACUCACCACACUGCCCUAGAUGCGCCAACGUUAUCGAGGAUCGCAAUCACCUCAUCUUCACAUGCCCUGCCGCAACCGCAAUAGAGAUUUGGCACAGGCCUGGACUAACUCCACAGCUGCAAGUGUUCAAUUACAUAUAUAUGGAGCCACCCUCCCAGCUCUACCCCGCCCUCAUCGGUAAGAACUUCGGUCGCUCUCACAAUCGUAUGGAAUAUUUGGUACUCACGCAACACUUCGAUCUUUAGAAAUGAGACAGAUUCAGCUGCAUUGUACUAGCCAAUGUAAUCUCCGAUUUAUUUCUUUGGAUGGGCCGAUUUAAGGAUCAAUCGAACUGAAAAAGAGGCUGCCCUUUGCUGGCAUGACAAACUCUCCUCAUGUAUCUCUGAAACUUGAUUACUUGAAAUGAAUGAAAUUCAGGUAGGAAUCCUC